CCCUGGGUGGCUCAGUCAGUAGAGCAUGUGAUUCUUGAUCUCAGGGUGGUGAGUUCAAGCCCCACAUUGGGAA
rnacentral:tRNA from 1 species